rnacentral:rRNA from 1 species
GAUGAACGCUGGCGGCGUGCAUAACACAUUCAAGUCGAACGGGAAUCCAAUGAUUGAAGCUUCGGCCGAUUGAGUUGGAGGAUAGUGGCGGACGGGUGAGUAACGCGUGAGCAACCUGCCUUUGUGAGGGGGAUAACACAGGGAAACUUGUGCUAAUACCGCAUGACGCAUACUGUAAGCAUUUACGGUAUGUUAAAGGAGCAAUCCGCACAAAGAUGGACUCGCGUCCGAUUAGAUAGUUGGUGAGGUAACGGCUCACCAAGUCGACGAUCGGUAGCCGGACUGAGAGGUUGAACGGCCACAUUGGGACUGAGACACGGCCCAGACUCCUACGGGAGGCAGCAGUGGGGGAUAUUGCACAAUGGGGAAAACCCUGAUGCAGCAACGCCGCGUGAGGGAAGAAGGUUUUCGGAUUGUAAACCUCUGUCCUCUGUGAAGAUAAUGACGGUAGCAGAGGAGGAAGCUCCGGGCUAACUACGUGCCAGCAGCCG